CAAUAGCGUAUAUUAAAGUUGUUGCGGUUAAAAAGCUCGUAGUUGGAUUUCUGCCGAGAACGACCGGUCCGCCCUUUGGGUGUGUAUCUGGCUCUUUCUUGGCAUCUUCUUGGUGAACGUUGCUGCACUUGACUGUGUGGAGCGCUACCCAGGACUUUUACUUUGAGGAAAUUAGAGUGUUUCAAGCAGGCAUACGCCUUGAUUACAUUAGCAUGGAAUAAUAAGAUAGGACCUCGGUUCUAUUUUGUUGGUUUCUAGAGCUGAGGUAAUGAUUAAUAGGGAUAGUUGGGGGCAUUCGUAUUUAACUGUCAGAGGUGAAAUUCUUGGAUUUGUUAAAGACGGACUACUGCGAAANCANNNGCCAAGGAUGUUUUCAUNGA
rnacentral:rRNA from 1 species